rnacentral:rRNA from 1 species
CGCUGGCGGCAGGCCUAACACAUGCAAGUCGAACGGCAGCACAGAGGAGCUUGCUCCUUGGGUGGCGAGUGGCGGACGGGUGAGGAAUGCGUCGGAAUCUGCCUUUUUGUGGGGGAUAACGUAGGGAAACUUACGCUAAUACCGCAUACGACCUACGGGUGAAAGUGGGGGACCGCAAGGCCUCACGCAGAUAGAUGAGCCGACGCCGGAUUAGCUAGUUGGCGGGGUAAAGGCCCACCAAGGCGACGAUCCGUAGCUGGUCUGAGAGGAUGAUCAGCCACACUGGGACUGAGACACGGCCCAGACUCCUACGGGAGGCAGCAGUGGGGAAUAUUGGACAAUGGGCGCAAGCCUGAUCCAGCCAUGCCGCGUGUGUGAAGAAGGCCUUCGGGUUGUAAAGCACUUUUGUCCGGAAAGAAAUCCAAUCGAUUAAUACUCGGUUGGGAUGACGGUACCGGAAGAGUAAGCACCGGCUAACUUCGUGCCAGCAGCCGCGGUAAUACGAAGGGUGCAAGCGUUACUCGGAAUUACUGGGCGUAAAGCGUGCGUAGGUGGUUGGUUAAGUCUGAUGUGAAAGCCCUGGGCUCAACCUGGGAACUGCAUUGGAUACUGGCUUACUAGAGUGCGGUAG